rnacentral:pre_miRNA from 1 species
GAGUUCCUCUGAACGCUUCAUAUAAGAGGUUAUCCAUCUUCAUUGAAGUGUUUGGGGGAACUC